rnacentral:rRNA from 1 species
UACGUAGGCAGCAAGCGUUGUUCGGAGUUACUGGGCGUAAAGGGUGUGUAGGCGGUUGUUUAAGUUUGGUGUGAAAUCUCCCGGCUCAACUGGGAGGGUGCGCCGAAUACUGAAUGACUUCGAGUGCGGGAGAGGAAAGUGGAAUUCCUGGUGUAGCGGUGAAAUGCGUAGAUAUCAGGAGGAACACCUAUAGCGAAGGCAGCUUGCUGGGACGUUACUGACGCUGAGACGCGAAAGCGUGGGGAGCAAACAGG